UCCGCAGACCCAGCCGGACUUCCGACGGCGAGAGCGAGAACCAGGUGAACCGGCCAGCCAGACAACCCCGGCGCAUCGCCUCGUCGUCUUCCCCUUCUCCCCCCGCACCCCUUCUCCCCUCGCCAUCCUGAAACCCUAAUCCGUCGCCGCCGCAAUACAACCCCUCUCUCGCUUCCGCUCCCCGCCCCCCGCUCCGAUCCAGGGUGGAGCGUUGGGCAAUGGAUUUCGAGCGACAAGUUUGAGCUCUCGGAUCGGUUUCAGGAGGUUUUAGAUGGGUUCGGACCGGCAACAUGGUGGCUCGGGGGAUGUGGUGGCGCCGAAAGGGCGGAAGAGACAGAGACAGCUGCUGCUGGAGUCCAGCGAUUCUGAAGCGGACGAAUACUGCCUCUUGACGCGGCCCAAGUCUGACGAGCCAAAUGCCUUCUUAGGCAACGGUGAUCAAUCAGUGGAGAAAGUGGCGCUUCUUACUUCUGAGCUUCCUGGGGCCAAGACUACUCAAAGCGAUGGUUCAGAAAAGAACAAGGGAGAUGAACUUAACAGUACCAGCAGCCAAAAAGAUGAUGACCUGUCAGAGGAGAAGGUGGUGCCUCUUAGUUCUGACAAGGUCCACAUGGUUAAGUCUACUCAGGGUGAUAAGAACAGCAGGAGUAGCUCACAGCCUGACCGCAAGAGGAGCAAAAUCGAGGAUGCCAAAGUUGGUGCUGUUGGAAACGGUGGAAGUGCAUCAAAGGAUGUAACUGUAGGGAAAAUGCUGCGUCCAGGGUUCCCAAAAUGGCGGUUCGAGAAGCCCGAAGUAAGGGCUGGACGAGUUGAUGAGAAAUGUGGGGUGGAGAUGAAGGCAACCAUUGGCUCAAAGGUCAAGGAGGAGAUGAAGGCAAAGUUCAAGGAGCAGGCCUCAAGUUUGGAUGUCAAGAGGAGGCCAGUAGGAUCACUGAAACAUGAGAAACACAUACCGGAGAUGAAGACAAAGUUCAAGGAGCAGGCCUCAAUUUUGGAUGUCAAGAGGACGCCAGUAGGAUCACUGAAACAUGAGAAACACAUGCCACUGAACACUGACAAGGGUAGCUUGGCUGGGUCUGUCCAAGGAGAAGUUAUAAGGGUUCAAGGAAAAAGUGGUCUUUUGAAGAUCCUGCCGAAGAACAAUAAGGUGCUCAGGGAAACCAGCAAUAGCAAGAUUCCACCGGAGAAGUCGAAUGUUGAUGGGGAUACCAGUGAUGGCAAUACUCUGCCAAAGAAUGUUAAGGUGGAGGCCGGGGGUGGCAAGAUUCCGACGAAGACUGGUGUUUUAAAGCUUCUUCUGAAGAACAAUAAGAUGGUCAGCGAAAACACUGAUGAAAACUUUCUUCCCAAGAACAUUAAGUUGGAUGGGGAGACCAGUGAUGGUAAGAAUUUGAUGAAGACCAGUAAGAUGGACACAGGAAGUGGCGAUGAGAAGGUGGCGGCUAAGAACUGUAUGGUGGAUUUAAAAGCUGUUGCUGGCAAGAUUCCAUCGAGGAACAGUAGGGUGGAUGAAGAGACCUUUACUGGCUAUAAACAGGAUAAGGAUAAAAGCAGUGUUCUCAUUGAGUCCCAAAUGCGGGAUUUAAAUGGUAGGAAGAAAGUUACAGGAAAACUGGUCUCCUCUGUCAUAUUGAGGAGAAGCGAUCCAAGCGUAGUGGGAGUUUCUUCAGGCCAUACAGUGAAACAGAAAAGUUCAAAGGUGCAGCUGAAGGUCUCCUCACAAGGCAAUCAUCAGCCCUCACCAAGCCUUAAAGAUGAGAAAAAUGAACUUGGUGAACACAAAAAUGACAAGAAGCGAUUACUUGAGCAUAAAGGUUCACCAGAGAAUUUAUCCAAGAAAGUAAAAUUGGAAGUCACUGAUCUGCAGGGCACAUCUGAUUCUGCUCCCAAGAAGCAUGUCAUGAUGAAGAAACCAAGGGGAGGACCUCGUAGUGCACUUAAGCAGAAACUCCGGGAUCAGAUAAAGGGUAUACUAUUAGAUAAUGGAUGGACAAUUGAUCUAAGGCCCCGGAAGGAUAAAGAUUAUGAAGAUUCUGUGUAUGUUUCUCCACAAGGUAGUAGCUAUUGGUCAAUCACAAAGGCUUAUGCAGUGUUCCAAGAGCACGUGAAAAGUUCACAGGAUGAGAACCAUACAGGUCAACCAGGUGUUGCAGAUGCUUCCUUUGAUGCCAUAUCAAAAGAGGAUCUAGCAAUACUACAGAGAAUUGUGCGGAAAAGAAAGGUCAAAAAAGAAUAUUCUGCUGAGAAAAAGGGAGGGAACAACAGAAGCAGGAACUCAAAAGGUACCGCUGCUAGUAUAAGUUCUAUAAACAAGUAUCAGAACAACAAAGAGAAGGUAAAUGCCAAGCAUCAGGGAUGUGCACUUCUUGUCCGUGGUAGUGCUCGUAAUAUGGAAGGCAUGGGUAACUAUGUUCCAUAUAAAUGGAAAAGGACGGUUUUAUCGUGGAUGAUAGAUCUGGGGGUGGUUUCACAAGAUGCGAAGGUCAAAUACAUGAACAAAAAAGGAACUCAGGCAAUAUUAGAUGGUAGAAUUACCAGGAAUGGUAUUUACUGUGGAUGCUGUUCCAAGAUUCUCACAGCUGCUAAGUUUGAACUUCAUGCUGGUUCAAAAGAUCAUGAGCCUUAUGCAAACAUCUUCCUAGAAGAUGGCAGGGUUCCAUUGUUGCAAUGCUUACUUGAUGCAUGGGAUAAGCAAUCACAACAUGAAAAGAAGGGAUUUUACAAGAUAGAUCCUGCUGAUGAUCCUGAUGAUGAUACUUGUGGUAUUUGUGGUGAUGGCGGUGACUUGCUCUGCUGCGAUCGCUGUACUUCAACUUUUCAUGUGGCUUGUUUAGGAAUCGAGAUGCCUUCUGGAGAUUGGUAUUGUCGUAGCUGUAUAUGCAAAUUCUGCAGCUCUGCUGAAGAAAUGACAUCGUCUUUCACUGAGUUGCUUUCUUGCUUGCAAUGCUCAAGAAAAUAUCACCAGAUUUGUACACCUGGAACUGAGAGGGACUCCGUUUCUACCCCACCCGGUGCCUCCAUUGAUCACUUCUGCAGCCCAGGAUGUAGAAAGGUUUAUAAACGACUAAAAAGGCUUCUUGGGUUCAAGAAUAAUAUAGAAGCCGGAUUUUCCUGGAGUCUGGUUCGCUGUUUUGCUGAUAGUGAGGCUGCACCCAUGAAAAGGAAAGCAGAAUUGGUACACUGCAACUCAAAGACAGCUGUUGCUUUCUCAGUUAUGAAUGAGUGUUUUUUGCCACGUAUUGAUGAGAGAAGUGGGAUUAAUAUAAUUCACAAUGUUGUAUACAAUUGUGGGUCGGAUUUCAAUCGUUUAAAUUUUAGUGACUUCUAUACAUUUAUCCUGGAGCGUGGAGAAGAAGUUAUAUCUGCAGCAACUGUCAGGAUUCAUGGAACUGAUUUAGCAGAAAUGCCAUUCAUAGGCACGAGGGGCAUGUAUCGGGGCCAAGGGAUGUGCCAUCGACUGCUCAAUGCAAUUGAAUCGGCCCUUUGCUCUCUCAAUGUUCGAAGACUAGUAAUACCUGCCAUACCCGAAAUGCAGAAGACCUGGACUACAGUUUUUGGUUUUAAGCCUGUUGGCCCUAUGAAGAAGCAAAAAACGAAGUCUUUUAAUCUCUUGAUUAUCCAUGGUACUGGUCUUCUGGAGAAGUGCUUGCUGCCAACAGCUCUAGUGAAUCGACAAACCACUUCUGGGACAGUUAACGCCGUUGAAUUUGACAAGACAGCUUCUCAAACGUUUGGGGAAGCAAGUGGAUCCCUUACACCUGUUCAUGUUUCUCAAGAAUUUGCUGUGGGUGGUUAUCCUGAAACCAAGGAUCAUGUCACUUGUGCUUUGAUUGAGAGCUCUUCAGGCUUGGCAUCUAACCUUCCUCCUGUUUCUGACAAAAAAACUAAAGAAACUAUUUCUCCAGUUUCCAUAGCUGGUGUUAAUUUGCAUACAAGUGAAGAUGACAUGCCUUGCAAGGCUGAAGCUGACAUUACAGAAAAAAUGAAAUACGCAGAAACAGAUUUGACAUUGGUUGCUGAUAAAAUUGUUGCAGAAGAGAAGCCUGAAGAUAAAUCUAGUUCCAGUUCUGCAGGUUCAUCGGCUAUUCCAGUGACAUUGGAUCAAUGUCCAUGUUCAUCUAAUGAGCUUGGGAAAUGUGAAAAUUGCCCACCUAGUUUACAUUCUAUUGAUGCUGUUAUUGUAAAAGAGAGACCUGAAUCUAUUUUCAGCCCCAAUUCCAUCUCUGUCCGCUUUGAUACUACUCAAGAAGAUCAGAAGUCUUGUGUAGUUCCUGCUAAUACUGAAGUUCCUUUAGUCACUAUGGGUCGAAAGCCUGAUAACCAUGAGUUCAAAACUAUUCUUGCUGAUGGUGGUGAUACGCAAAGCUCACUAGAAGUUAAAUGUUUGCAAGUUCUGGUAGAUGAAAGAUCAAUAGAUGCCUAUACAGCUAAAAAUAAAACAUUUGUUGGCGGUUUAACUAGUAAUGCUGCUGCUGUUAUUAAAGACAACCGUCAUUCUGCAGUUGAUCUUGUAGUAUCAGCAGAGAGAUCAUUGGAUGAAACAAAUUCUAUUGGAAGUGACAAGAGUGAAGUUAAGGUUGCAACAAUUGAAGUGGGUGCUAUAGUUGAGAGCUCUAAUGAAGCAGGCAUAACAGUUUCGGUGCUUGAAACAUCAGAUGACAUCAAUGGUGAAGUUGCCGCAAAGCCUACUCUAACUUGUGUGGAUGGUCAACUUCAUUGAGGGGAUGGAGUAUGCAAUAGUAGCAUGAAAGAUGGCCUAGCUUCUAGAGACCCUGUUAAUGCAUGAGUUCUACAUUUGGUGCUACAGUAUGCUGAAGGGAGCAAGGAUAUGCGUUCUCCCUUGUAUUGGAACGAGAGACGAUUAGCACGGCUGCUGAUUUGCACAUCAUGAUCAAACAACCAAGGUGGGAUCAGGGAUCAUACAAGGAGAUGCCACAUUUCUGGAAGUUUUGAAUUCGAUGCGUUGUUUGUUUGGAUAGUCAAUCAAGUUGCUGGCUCCAUGGAAAUAUUUUGCUAGACAUGAACAUCAUGGGACGUUAAUUCUAUUACUGUUGUUUCUUCAAAGAACUGUUAGGGAGAUAUCCUCGGCUGGGAUGAAUGGACAUUUUUUGGUAAGAUAGUGUUUUCAUCGCUUGUAUGCAAAUUUUACUGAGGAUGAAUAUGUUCCUUAAAAGUGUUUGACUAUGUUCAUUUUUAACAAUUUAGCAAUCAGUUGUUGCGUUCAUUAGUUGUCAGAAAAUAAAGUGAGCUAGACUAUA